rnacentral:lncRNA from 1 species
UCCCUGAACUUAUAGUUUUCUUGGAACUUUAUGAGCCUGCAUGGCAUCUGCUCUCCGGCUGCCGUCCGAUUCAUGCCUUCUUGAUCGCUGAUGGGAUCAUCAUCGUGCCUGAUGGACUGCCACCCAUCGUCGAUGAGGACGAGUCCAGGUGGACACCCACCGUCAACUAGGCCUUGGACUCCUUCCCACACGCCUUGAGGGUGCACCUUAAGGUAGAAUGCGUCCCAGGUGCACCAACCAAAUUUGUCCACGAUGCCAGGUGGAGUCUUUUCUUCCAGAAGCUUGAACGUACCCAAAUGAACCCUCACCACUCUCAUGGCUUCCUUCACCAGACUGUACGGAUCAUCGCCGGCGUGGAUGUACAAAGAGCUCCUGUAGCUGCCGCCGGAGACCUUCGUCGACCCGCUU